rnacentral:lncRNA from 1 species
AUGCGUGGCUCCUCAACCUCCUUUAUUCUCUCGUGACAUUGUAUGAUUCUGUGACUGACACCAUCGUAUUUGUGACCUGAAACUUCUCUGACCAGGAACAAGACCACGAGCACAUCCCGGUUUAGCGGCUUUGCCCAGCGUGGGGAAGAAGGUGCUGCUGUCAUUUCAUGAUCGUGUUGUCUUAGAGCACUUUAUGAACCCUCCGUGGAGCAGAUCCGUGUCUCUUCUGUAAGUCCUUGAAAACCAUCCGCGUUCAAGGAGGGACACAGCAUCUUCAGGCAGGCUUCCAAGUCAACAAAACUUGGUUGUGUCUGGCACCCUUCUUACCCGUUGGUGGAUCCUUCUCUGUGAUGAAGUCCGCGCUCGGAUGUCACCUUCUCGGAGAGUCCGUCACCUGAAAGACAGCCACGCCAAUCGUGCCGUCUUACUACAUCAUGCUGCAUGUGUCUGAGAUGAUACCGUGUCCUUCCUUCCUGUCAGUGCUUGUGCACGUAAGCGUGGAACACGCACCUGUAUGUACGGGUUUCUGUGUGCACAUAAUUUCAUCCCUCUUCCUCCGUUAGCAGGUACAUUUUAGAGAGGGGAAGGAUCUGCUCUUGUUUUCCUGGCUGUGCAUCCAUUCCUUAUGACAUGAUACGAACACAGGGUCCUUUGUAGAUAUGUGUGGUUGGAUAAAUGUGGGUAUGACGUGAACACACUUCUGCCGUGGGAUUUCAUGUCAGGUGAUGCUUUCUGGAUUCAUUUUAUAUAAACGUGCAGGUUUAUUAGAAGAGUUCUUAAUUGGCAUGAUUAGAAAUUCAUAUUCAAUGAGGAAUUGUAAUAAUGUUAAUAUAUAAUAUUGUAUUAGUAUAUAAACAAAAGGUUUGGUUGGGUCAUUAUAUAACUUUUCCUUGAAUAUGACUGUAUUUGGAUAUCACCCUUCUGGAAUACGUCAUACCCAGACUGUAUCAUCAAUGAUCUUCAGUUAAAAUUCAUUUAAUAUGGAACAAACACUUCAAAAAGCACUUGAAAAUCAGUAUUUAUGCAGAAGCAUCUGGAUUUGUGUUCUUUUCUAUAUACGCAAUUAAGGACCAUGAUUGUGACUCAGUUUCACUGUCUUCCCCAGGAAUCACCUCUCACAGAAACAACAGCUUUGGUAUCGUAGAUGACCUUUUACAUCCAUUUGCAUUAAAAGCUGAAGUUUCUGGUCUGAGCAAAGCCCAUCUCCUCAAGUGUUUAUGUCGUGGAUCACACCUUUGCUGUCGCAUCUGAUAAAAGUCACGGCUAUAUCAAGGGCUUCUAGGAUUUCUCUCCAUUUUUAUUUAAAGGCAAGUAAAUAUUAAGUGAAAU